rnacentral:rRNA from 1 species
UACAGAGGUCUCAAGCGUUGUUCGGAUUCAUUGGGCGUAAAGGGUGCGUAGGCGGCGCGGUAAGUCGGGUGUGAAAUCUCGGAGCUUAACUCCGAAACUGCAUUGGAAACUACUUUGCUCGAGGGUUGGAGGGGGGGACUGGAAGUUCUCGGUUGUAGCAGUGAAAUGCGUAGAUAUCGAGAGGAACACCAGUGGCGAAGGCGAGUCCCUGGACAACUCCUGACACUGAGGCACGAAAGCUAGGGGGAGCAAACAGG